AGUGAGCAGGCUCACCUAGGCCAGGGUGCAGAGGUGUCCGGGCCCUGACAUUCCCCCAAGGAGGGCUGGAGGCCGCCGGGCUCGGGGAGAGGGCCCAGGAGCCCCAGCAGCCCUCUCCGGGGGCUGGGAGCUCGCUCGGGCAGGCGCACGGGCCUGGGGGACAGAAAGGGGGAGCGUGGCUUGAGUCCCUCGGCCCGUCCCAGGCCCGGCAGCGGGGAGCCCGGCAGCGGGGAGCCGGCGGCAGGGCGGGAGGCCCAGCGCCCGGGGCGGCCUGUCCCCUCGCGCCGCUCUGCUCGCCUCCGGCCGAGGAAUUUUACUUUAUUCGCGCUCCCCCGCCCGCCCCAGCCCGCGGGUCCUCAAGGCCAGGCCGCCGGGUCCCCUUUGAAUCUGUGCCCGGCUCCGGCUCGGGCUCCGAGGUGACCCGGGGAAGUGUACUCCUCCGGCCCUUGCAGCCCAGACGGGCACCGGCUGUUGAAAAAGAACCAAAACCUCUGAAAAGGUUCUGUGUUUUCUCUGUUCCCGCUGCAGGACGUGGCCCAGCACCCGGGGCAGAGGCUGAGGGCAGGGCAGGCUGGCGGCAGGCCGGGCCCAGGCUCCAGAGGGCGCGACGGACAGUCAGUCGUUGAGGGCGCUCAGCUGGGCCGCUCCAGUCCUCUCCGAGCCGCCCUCGAGGAAAUCCUAACCAGCUCUCACAAACAUGUCAAGCCCAAAGCUGCUGUGUGUGUUUGAGCGGAGCUUCAGACAGCUACUUAACACCGGGGCCUCCGGGCCUUUGAUUCCUGCGCCCCUCGCCUUGCCCUCUCCCCCCGUCUGGCUGGUGUUUAUCGGCCAAGACGAUGUUUAAAUCACACUCGUUUCCUAUAAACAUUUCACUUGAAAUGCCAUCCGCUGCCCCAGAAAUUCAUCUAUCACCAGCUCGGGGUGUACUUGAGGAGCCUCCGGGCGAUGCUCCCCGUCUCUGUCCCCUGCCCCCCACCCCGCCUCCCCGACCCAUAUUCUCAGGUUUCACGCUGUAAGAACAACUUCCCCUCGGUGUAACAGGGCACUUAGUGCCAGGAUUAUUUAUAAGGCCGAGAUGGCAACGGGCGGUGGGGAGCAGCCCGGCCCGUGGACACUUCCUCUUGCAAAGCUCAAUAAACGGCCUGGAACGCUGUGUGCCA